rnacentral:misc_RNA from 2 species
UCAAAGCAUCAAGCUUGGCUUGUCGUUGGGCCCUCUGUCACCUGGUGAUAGGUCCAAAAGAUAAUGAGCGGUGUCGUAAAGACUCUAUAUGCAACGAGCUGAUAACAGCAGCAUCUAGUGGUCGUACGGCCCGGUUCUCACCUCUCUAUUUCUCAA